AGCCGCAGCGUCUGGCCCAGGCGGCUAAGGUAGUAGCUCUGGGAGGCGCGGUUGUACGUGGGCGUCACGACGAUCAGCAACUUAUUCCUAGGCGGCGAUGGAUCCGGUAGGACGUUCGGAAGGGGCUCGUCGUUCGAGUACCGGUGGCCGUCAUCAGAUCGCACGAUCUCGAUCUCUGCGUCGCCGGGCCGGAGGACUGCCGCGAGAUCACGGCGCGGAAGGCUACCGUUACGGCUGAUGGAGGGCG
rnacentral:lncRNA from 1 species